rnacentral:ncRNA from 1 species
AGGUUCUUCCCCGUAAUAGGGAGGAUGAAAAGGGAAUCAGGUGAGAAUCCUGAGCAGUACCCGCUGCUGUAAGCCCCCGCCACCGCUUCGUUUCACCUUGCAAGCCACUGGCCGCAAUCGACGCUCCAAGUCAACUACAUCAUGGUCGGGAAGGCGUGAAACCGAAAAGGGGGCAAGUCAGAAGACCUGCCUUGCGC